rnacentral:rRNA from 1 species
AGAGUUUGAUCCUGGCUCAGAAUGAACGCUGGCGGCGUGCUUAACACAUGCAAGUCGAACGAGAAAGCCUUUCGGGGUGAGUAAAGUGGCGGACUGGUGAGUAACACGUGGGUAUCUGCAUUUUAGUAGGGAAUAUGUUUGAGAAAUUAAAUUUAAUACCGUAUACGUUUCGCAAGAAAGAAAGGGGGCCUCUUUGCUCUCGCUAAAAUAUGAGCCUGCGCACUAUUAGCUAGUUGGUGGGGUAAAUGCUUACCAAGGCGAUGAUGGUUAUCCGGCCUGAGAGGGUGAUCGGACACAUUGGGACUGAGAUAUGGCCCUGACUCCUACGGGAGGCAGCAGUGGGGAAUUUUGCGCAAUGGACGAAAGUCUGACGCAGCAACGCCGCGUGGAGGAUGAAGCCCUUUGGGGUGUAAACUUCUGUUGAUCGGGAAGAAAAAUUAGUAGUUAAUACCUUCUAUAAUGACGUUACCGAUAAAGAAAGCACCGGCUAAUCUCGUG